AUGAGGUGCCCAGGCAGAGCGCGGGGUCUGGACACUCAGCACUGGCCAUGGCCUGGCCAUGGUGGGCGUGCCUGCCGCAGGGACAGCCAGUCCACCAAGCCCAGCACCUCCACACCCGCUCGUCAACUGCUCGUUCAGCUGCUAAUUGUUGCGCAACAGCAUAGCCACUGCGCAUGCGGGUUGACGUCAGGCUCUUCACACGCAGUACCUCCAAUUCCCCAUGCGCGUACCGGUCGGCUGCAGGAAGCUCCAAGGCCAGCGCGGAAUGCAGGUGUGAGAGCAGCCUGGGCUGGGAGACUCUGCAGAGACGUAUGUAUCAUAAAGGAUCAGUGCCUGAGAGUUUUGAAGCAACCAUCCAUCUCCCAUGAAGGAGUGACCAUAAAGGUAACUUGAGUUACAUACAAUAUGUUAAAUUUUUAUUGUCUCCUGCUUCUGAUGACUACAGUUUUAUUAUUAAGUCAAAUGUGUCUUCUUCACUCUCUUUUCUUGGUAGAAACGCAUUCCCAAGUGGCUUUUAAGUUCCUCAUGCAAACAACCUUUGAGUCAAUCUGAGCCAAUUUGUUUGUUCUUUCAAGGUAUGUACAAAUAUUAGUAUUGGAUUUAGCUGGGUUGCAAGGUGGACGAUACCCAUCAAUCAACAUGUGUCUAGAAAAAUUAUUCAGCUGCUUUGUGUCUCUUCUAUCUCACUUGUAAAGUGAAGUGUAGAGUAGUAUCUAUUUUAAAAUUUUAACUCACUUCCUAUCACAAAAUGUCUUCAGUAGAUUAAAAUUAAUGUAUGUACUAAGUUAAUGACAUGAUAGAAGUAGAAAAAUUGAGAACAGGCUUUUUA
rnacentral:lncRNA from 1 species